rnacentral:rRNA from 1 species
CCUACGGGAGGCAGCAGUGAGGAAUAUUGGUCAAUGGACGAGAGUCUGAACCAGCCAAGUAGCGUGAAGGAUGACUGCCCUCUGGGUUGUAAACUUCUUUUAUAUGGGAAUAAAAUGUUCCACGUGUGGGAUUUUGUAUGUACCAUAUGAAUAAGGAUCGGCUAACUCCGUGCCAGCAGCCGCGGUAAUACGGAGGAUCCGAGCGUUAUCCGGAUUUAUUGGGGUUAAAGGGAGCGUAGGUGGAUUGUUAAGUCAGUUGUGAAAGUUUGCGGCUCAACCGUAAAAUUGCAGUUGAAACUGGCAGUCUUGAGUACAGUAGAGGUGGGCGGAAUUCGGGGUGUAGCGGUGAAAUGCUUAGAUAUCACGAAGAACUCCGAUUGCGAAGGCAGUUCACUGGACUGCAACUGACACUGAGGCUCGAAAGUGUGGGUAUCAAACAGGAUUAGAUACCCGUGUAGUC